rnacentral:rRNA from 1 species
GAAUGCCGCGGUGAAUACGUUCCCGGGUCUUGUACACACCGCCCGUCACACCAUGGGAGUCGGAAAUGCCCGAAGUCUGUGACCCAACCUACGGGAGGGAGCAGCCGAAGGCAGGUCGGAUGACUGGGGUGAAGUCGUAACAAGGUACC